rnacentral:sRNA from 1 species
AAAAGGGGGGGAAAGAAAGAAAGAGAAAAAGGAGGGCGAGUGGCGAGCAGGGGCCUCGGCCGCCACCCACACGCCCCGAAGCGUGCUCGUCCCCCGCGCGGGGCUCCCGGCCGCCGCCCUCGGCCAUCGGCUGCUCCCCGGUGGCCCAGGCCUCGGACUCCGCGGCCGGCCCGGCGCGGCCCGGCGCCCUCAGGGAUCAUGGCCCAGGUAGCAGUGUCCACCCUGCCUGUUGAAGAAGAGUCCUCCUCAGAGAGCAGGAUGGUGGUGACAUUCCUCGUGUCUGCCCUCGAGUCCAUGUGUAAAGAACUGGCCAAGUCCAAGGCAGAAGUGGCCUGCAUCGCAGUGUAUGAAACAGAUGUGUUUGUCGUCGGAACCGAGAGAGGAUGCGCUUUUGUCAAUGCCAGGACGGAUUUUCAGAAAGAUUUUGCAAAAUACUGUGUUGCAGAGGGGCUGCGUGAGGUAAAACCUCCCUGCCCUGUGAAUGGAAUGCAGGUCCAUUCGGGCGAAACGGAAAUACUCAGGAAGGCAGUGGAGGACUAUUUCUGCUUUUGUUAUGGUAAAGCCUUAGGGACGACGGUGAUGGUGCCUGUUCCCUAUGAGAAGAUGCUGCGAGACCAGUCGGCUGUGGUAGUGCAGGGGCUUCCAGAAGGCGUUGCCUUUCAACACCCUGAGAAUUACGACCUUGCAACCCUGAAAUGGAUUUUGGAGAACAAAGCAGGGAUUUCAUUCAUCAUAAAUAGGUGACACACUCUGCACCCCCGCCCCCUCAGUUCAUUUAAAGAUGAAACUGAUAGCUUAAUUUUAAUUCACUCAUGCAUUCCGACUGUUGCGUUUCAGAGCUGACUGUUCAGAUGUGUCAUGCCUUUUUCAUUUGUCCAUGCUGUGUAACGGUGUUGCUUUUCUUGCAGACCCUUCCUAGGACCAGAGAGUCAGCUGGGUAAGUGACAGCUUCUCAGGUUUGGUGGCUCUUCUGAGCUGCUGAACUACUUCUUUUUCAUUAAAACUUGAACUGGGGGCCAGGCGCGAUGGCUCACACCUGUAAUGCCAGCACUUUGGGAGGCCGAGGCGGGUGGAUCACAAGGUCAGGAGAUCGAGACCAUCCUGGCUAACACGGUGAAACCCAGUCUCUACUAAAAAUACAAAAAAAAAUUAGCCGGGCUUGGUGGCGGGCGCCUGUAGUCCCAGCUACUCGGGAGGCUGAGGCAGGAGAAUGGCAUGAACCCGGUAGGUGGAGCUUGCAGUGAGCGGAGAUCGUGCCACUGCACUCCAGCCUGGGCAACUGAGCAAGACUCUGUCUC